rfam:Moniliophthora roreri MCA 2997 sctg_0181_0002, whole genome shotgun sequence.
GCCCGCCUAGCUCAAUCGGAUAGAGCGUCAGACUUUUAAGGCGGUGCUUACCACCCUGAAAUCUGAAGGCUGCGAGUUCGACCCUCGCGGUGGGCU